rnacentral:rRNA from 1 species
AGAGUGAACGCUGGCGGCGUGCCUAACACAUGCAAGUCGAACGAGAACGGAACUAGCUUGCUAGUUUGUCAGCUAAGUGGCGCACGGGUGAGUAAUAUAUAGUUAAUCUGCCCCAAAGAAGAGAAUAAUUGUUGGAAACGACUUGUAAUGCUCUAUAUGCCUUUAUCACAUAAGUGAGCAAGGGAAACAUUUAUGGCUUUGGGAUGAGACUGUACGGUAUCAGCUAGUUGGUGAGGUAAUGGCUCACCAAGGCUAUGACAUCUAACUGGUUUGAGAGGAUGAUCAGUCACACUGGAACUGAGACACGGUCCAGACUCCUACGGGAGGCAGCAGUGGGGAAUAUUGCACAAUGGACGAAAGUCUGAUGCAGCAACGCCGCGUGGAGGAUGACACAUUUCGGUGCGUAAACUCCUUUUAUAUGAGAAGAUAAUGACGGUAUCAUAUGAAUAAGCACCGGCUAACUCCGUGCCAGCAGCCGCGGUAAUACGGGGGGUGCAAGCGUUACUCGGAAUCACUGGGCGUAAAGAGCAUGUAGGCUGGUUUGUAAGUUGGAAGUGAAAUCCUAUGGCUUAACCAUAGAACUGCUUCCAAAACUGCAGACCUAGAAUAUGGGAGAGGUAGAUGGAAUUUCUGGUGUAGGGGUAAAAUCCGUAGAGAUCAGAAGGAAUACCGAUUGCGAAGGCGAUCUACUGGAACAUUAUUGACGCUGAGAUGCGAAAGCGUGGGGAGCAAACAGGAUUAGAUACCCUGGUAGYCCACGCCCUAAACGAUGCACACUAGUUGUUGCCUUGCUCGACAAGGCAGUAAUGCAGUUAACACAGUAAGUGUGCCGCCUGGGGAGUACGGUCGCAAGAUUA